rnacentral:rRNA from 1 species
UACGUAGGGACCGAGCGUUGUCCGGAAUCAUUGGGCGUAAAGAGCGUGUAGGCGGCCUUUUAAGUCCUGCGUGAAAUCCUGCGGCUCAACCGCAGACGGUCGUGGGAAACUGGAAGGCUAGAGUGCGGGAGAGGAGAGUGGAAUUCCCGGUGUAGCAGUGAAAUGCGCAGAUAUCGGGAGGAACACCAAUGGCGAAGGCAGCUUGCUGGGACGGUACUGACGCUGAGACGCGAAAGCGUGGGGAGCAAACAGG